GUAAGCUACUAAGAGCAAAUGGUGGAUGCCUUGGCUAGUAGAGGCGAUGAAAGACGUGCCAGGCUGCGAUAAGUCUCGGGGAGCCGUCAAGGGGCUUUGAUCCGGGAAUUUCUGAAUGGGGCAACCCAGUAUAUAGUGAUAUAUACUACCGCAAUGCGGAGCUAACGUUGGGAAUUGAAACAUCUUAGUACCAACAGGAAAAGAAAUCAAAAGAGAUUACGCUAGUAGCGGCGAGCGAACGCGUAAGAGGGCAAACCGUUAGUUUACUAACGGGGUUGUAGGACUGCAACAUAGACUUAAACAAACUAAUAGAAUAACCUGGAAAGGUUGGCCAUAGAGGGUGAUAGCCCCGUAUAUGAAAGUGCGUUUAUACUUAGCAGUAUCCUGAGUAGGGCGGGACACGUGAAAUCCUGUCUGAAGCUGGGGAGACCACUCUCCAACCCUAAAUACUACUACUAGACCGAUAGUGCACAAGUACCGUGAGGGAAAGGUGAAAAGAACUGAGGUGAUCAGAGUGAAAUAGAACCUGAAACCAUUUGCUUACAAUCAUUCAGAGCACGAUUCUUUAUGACGUGUGAUGGACUGCCUUUUGCAUAAUGAGCCUGCGAGUUGUGGUGUCUGGCGAGGUUAAGGAAACCCGGAGCCGUAGCGAAAGCGAGUCUUAAUAGGGCGUAUAGUCAGAUGCUGCAGACCCGAAACGAUGUGAUCUAUCCAUGAGCAGGUUGAAACUGGUGUAAGAGCCAGCGGAGGACCGAACAGACGGCCGUUGAAAAGGCUCCUGAUGACUUGUGGAUAGGGGUGAAAGGCCAAUCAAACAUCGUGAUAGCUGGUUCUCUCCGAAAUAUAUUUAGGUAUAGCGUUGUGUCGUAAUUAUAAGGGGUAGAGCACUGAAUGGGCUAGGGCAUAUACCAAUGUACCAAACCCUAUCAAACUCCGAAUACUUAUAAUGUAAUCACAGCAGUCAGGCGGCGAGUGAUAAAAUCCGUCGUCAAGAGGGGAACAACCCAGACUAACAGCUAAGGUCCCUAAAUCUCAUUUAAGUGGAAAACGAUGUGGAGUUACUGAAACAACCAGGAGGUUGGCUUAGAAGCAGCCAUCCUUUAAAGAAAGCGUAAUAGCUCACUGGUCUAGUGAUUCUGCGCGGAAAAUAUAACGGGGCUAAAAUGAGUACCGAAGCUUUAGACUUAGUUUUUAACUAAGUGGUAGGAGAGCGUUCUAUUCAGCGUUGAAGGUAUACCGGUAAGGAGUGCUGGAGCGGAUAGAAGUGAGCAUGCAGGCAUGAGUAGCGAUAAUUGAUGUGAGAAUCAUCAACGCCGAAAACCCAAGGUUUCCUACGCGAUGCUCGUCAUCGUAGGGUUAGUCGGGUCCUAAGCAAAGUCCGAAAGGGGUAUGCGAUGGAAAAUUGGUUAAUAUUCCAAUACCAAUUAUUAUGUGCGAUGGAAGGACGCUUAAAGUUAGUGGAGCUAGCGGAUGGAAGUGCUAGUCUAAGGGUGUAGGUUGAGUUAUAGGCAAAUCCGUAACUCUUUAUCCGAGACCUAAAAGGCUCAUGACGCUCUUCGGAGUAGAUUGAGAAUCCAUGAUACUAUCGAGCCAAGAAAAGUUUCUAAGUUUAGUAAUAAUUGCCCGUACCGUAAACCGACACAGGUGGGUGGGAUGAGUAUUCUAAGGCGCGUGGAAGAACUCUCUUUAAGGAACUCUGCAAAAUAGCACCGUAUCUUCGGUAUAAGGUGUGCCUAACUUUGUAUUAAGAUUCACUCCCAAAGCAAAGAAGGUUACAACAAAGAGUCCCUCCCGACUGUUUACCAUAAACACAGCACUCUGCUAACACGUAAGUGGAUGUAUAGGGUGUGACGCCUGCCCGGUGCUCGAAGGUUAAUUGAUGAUGUUAGCUAUGCGAAGCAUUUGAUCGAAGCCCGAGUAAACGGCGGCCGUAACUAUAACGGUCCUAAGGUAGCGAAAUUCCUUGUCGGUUAAAUACCGACCUGCAUGAAUGGCGUAACGAGAUGGGAGCUGUCUCAAAGAGGGAUCCAGUGAAAUUGUAGUGGAGGUGAAAAUUCCUCCUACCCGCGGCAAGACGGAAAGACCCCGUGGACCUUUACUACAGCUUGACACUGCUACUUGGAUAAAGAUGCGCAGGAUAGGUGGGAGGCUUUGAUCCAUAGACCCUGGUUUAUGGUGAGCCAUUGUUGAGAUACCACUCUUCUUUAUUCGGGUAGCUAACUAGCCUAAGUUAUCCUUAGGUAGGACAAUGUCUGGUGGGUAGUUUGACUGGGGCGGUCGCCUCCCAAAAUGUAACGGAGGCUUACAAAGGUUGGCUCAGAACGGUUGGAAAUCGUUCGUAGAGUAUAAAGGCAUAAGCCAGCUUAACUGCGAGACAUACACGUCAAGCAGAGACGAAAGUCGGUCUUAGUGAUCCGGUGGUUCUGUGUGGAAGGGCCAUCGCUCAAAGGAUAAAAGGUACCCCGGGGAUAACAGGCUGAUCUCCCCCAAGAGCUCACAUCGACGGGGAGGUUUGGCACCUCGAUGUCGGCUCAUCGCAUCCUGGGGCUGGAGCAGGUCCCAAGGGUAUGGCUGUUCGCCAUUUAAAGCGGUACGCGAGCUGGGUUCAGAACGUCGUGAGACAGUUCGGUCCCUAUCUGCCGUGGGCGUAAGAAGAUUGAGGAGAGUUGACCCUAGUACGAGAGGACCGGGUCGAACUAGCCACUGGUGUACCAGUUGUUCUGCCAAGAGCAUCGCUGGGUAGCUAAGCUAGGAUGAGAUAAGAGCUGAAAGCAUCUAAGCUCGAAGCCAACUCCAAGAUGAAUCUUCUUUUAAGAGCUCUAGUAGACUACUAGUUUGAUAGGCUGGGUGUGUAAUGGAUGAAAGUCCUUUAGCUGACCAGUACUAAUAGCUCGUUUGCUUAUCUUU
rnacentral:rRNA from 2 species